CCGGGUGGGGAAUAACCAGUCGAAAGAUUGGCUAAUACCGCAUAAUGCAGCGGCACCUAAUGGUGAUUAGUUGUUAAAGCGGGGGACCUUCGGGCCUCGCGCCUGGAGAGGAGCCUGCGGCAGAUUAGCUAGUUGGUGAGGUAACGGCUCACCAAGGCAUCGAUCUGUAGCUGGUCUGAGAGGACGGCCAGCCACACUGGCACUGACACACGGGCCAG
rnacentral:rRNA from 1 species